rnacentral:rRNA from 1 species
GACGAACGCUGGCGGCGUGCUUAACACAUGCAAGUCGAACGGAAAGGCCCUGCUUUUGUGGGGUGCUCGAGUGGCGAACGGGUGAGUAACACGUGAGUAACCUGCCCUUGACUUUGGGAUAACUUCAGGAAACUGGGGCUAAUACCGGAUAGGAGCUCCUGCUGCAUGGUGGGGGUUGGAAAGUUUCGGCGGUUGGGGAUGGACUCGCGGCUUAUCAGCUUGUUGGUGGGGUAGUGGCUUACCAAGGCUUUGACGGGUAGCCGGCCUGAGAGGGUGACCGGCCACAUUGGGACUGAGAUACGGCCCAGACUCCUACGGGAGGCAGCAGUGGGGAAUAUUGCACAAUGGGCGGAAGCCUGAUGCAGCAACGCCGCGUGCGGGAUGACGGCCUUCGGGUUGUAAACCGCUUUCGCCUGUGACGAAGCGUGAGUGACGGUAAUGGGUAAAGAAGCACCGGCUAACUACGUGCCAGCAGCCGCGGUGAUACGUAGGGUGCGAGCGUUGUCCGGAUUUAUUGGGCGUAAAGGGCUCGUAGGUGGUUGAUCGCGUCGGAAGUGUAAUCUUGGGGCUUAACCCUGAGCGUGCUUUCGAUACGGGUUGACUUGAGGAAGGGUAGGGGAGAAUGGAAUUCCUGGUGGAGCGGUGGAAUGCGCAGAUAUCAGGAGGAACACCAGUGGCGAAGGCGGUUCUCUGGGCCUUUCCUGACGCUGAGGAGCGAAAGCGUGGGGAGCGAACAGGCUUAGAUACCCUGGUAGUCCACGCUGUAAACGGUGGGUACUAGGUGUGGGGUCCAUUCCACGGGUUCCGUGCCGUAGCUAACGCUUUAAGUACCCCGCCUGGGGAGUACGGCCGCAAGGCUAAAACUCAAAGGAAUUGACGGGGCCCCGCACAAGCGGCGGAGCAUGCGGAUUAAUUCGAUGCAACGCGUAGAACCUUACCUGGGUUUGACAUGGAUCGGGAGUGCUCAGAGAUGGGUGUGCCUCUUUUGGGGUCGGUUCACAGGUGGUGCAUGGCUGUCGUCAGCUCGUGUCGUGAGAUGUUGGGUUAAGUCCCGCAACGAGCGCAACCCUUGUUCACUGUUGCCAGCACGUUAUGGUGGGGACUCAGUGGAGACCGCCGGGGUCAACUCGGAGGAAGGUGGGGAUGACGUCAAGUCAUCAUGCCCCUUAUGUCCAGGGCUUCACGCAUGCUACAAUGGCUGGUACAGAGAGUGGCGAGCCUGUGAGGGUGAGCGAAUCUCGGAAAGCCGGUCUCAGUUCGGAUUGGGGUCUGCAACUCGACCUCAUGAAGUCGGAGUCGCUAGUAAUCGCAGAUCAGCAACGCUGCGGUGAAUAAAUUCCCGGG